GACGAAUGCUGGCUGCGUGCUUAACACAUGCAAGUCGAACGGUGAAGGGGAGCUUGCUCCCCGGAUCAGUGGCGAACGGGUGAGUAACACGUGGGCAACCUGCCCCUCACUCUGGGAUAACUCCGGGAAACCGGGGCUAAUACCGGAUACGACCUGGUGCGACAUCGCACCGGGUGGAAAGAACUUCGGUGAGGGAUGGGCCCGCGGCCUAUCAGCUUGUUGGUGGGGUAACGGCCCACCAAGGCGACGACGGGUAGCCGGCCUGAGAGGGCGACCGGCCACACUGGGACUGAGACACGGCCCAGACUCCUACGGGAGGCAGCAGUGGGGAAUAUUGCGCAAUGGGCGAAAGCCUGACGCAGCGACGCAGCGUGAGGGACGAAGGCCUUCGGGUUGUAAACCUCUUUCAGCGGGGACGAAGCGCAAGUGACGGUACCCGCAGAAGAAGCACCGGCUAACUACGUGCCAGCAGCCGCCGUAACAC
rnacentral:rRNA from 1 species